rnacentral:rRNA from 1 species
GCUAACUCCGUGCCAGCAGCCGCGGUAAUACGGAGGAUCCAAGCGUUAUCCGGAUUUAUUGGGUUUAAAGGGUGCGUAGGCGGCGUUGUAAGUCAGUGGUGAAAGUUUGCAGCUUAACUGUAAAAUUGCCAUUGAUACUGCAGUGCUUGAGUAUAGAUGAGGUGGGCGGAAUGUGUCAUGUAGCGGUGAAAUGCAUAGAUAUGACACAGAACACCGAUUGCGAAGGCAGCUCACUAAACUAUAACUGACGCUGAGGCACGAAAGCGUGGGGAUCAAACAGGAUUAGAUACCCGUGUAGUC